UCUCCGUUGGUGAACCAGCGGAGGGAUCAUUACAGAGUUUUCACUACUCCCAACCCUUUCGAACCGUACCCACUCUGUUCUCGUUGCUUCCGGCGUGUGGGCUGUGGGGGCCCGAAACGGCCACCCCUCCCCGCCCCCCCGGGCCGUCUGGCCCUACGAUCCUUUAUAUCACAAUCACCAGAAACCCUUUUAAAAAACAAUCAAACUACUCAAAACUUGCCACAACCGACCUCUUAGCUCUCGCACCGAUGAAGAACCCAGCAUCUCGGAAGACCACAC
rnacentral:misc_RNA from 1 species